GAUGAUUUUUCAUUUUCAGAUUUAAUAACUCCCGAGGGUAAAGCCUCUAGAGAAUGAGGAAAAAUGAGAUUUUGUAGAGGGAGGGGUGAAAAUAUGAGAUAAAUGAAUGAGAUAUAGAAAACGAAGAAGUUAUAUCUAAAUUAGGAGUUUUCAAGAGUUAGAAGAAAAAUGUAUUGGAUUAAGAAGAAAAAAAGAGAACUACUAAUGAGAUACAGAUAAUAAUGAAAGGAUGAUAUCUAAUAGAAGAUUGGAUUAAUUUUUCAAGUGAAUUAUUGAGAUACGAGCAUGCUGGCACUAGAGCACAUGAAUAUAGGAUAUAUUCUGGCAGAAAUAUUCCUUUAUUUAUCUCCAGGGGAUCUUCAUGUUAGUCGCCAGGUUUGCCGGGCUUGGAAUUCCUGUAUAGUUGAAGACAUUUGGAACAGGAAAAAGAACAGGAGAAUAUUCGAGAACAGUUUACAGAGAAGAUGGUUGAAAGGAGAAUGCUCAAGGAAUAUUUACCCUGUAUCUAGAAGAGAACAUGACUGUGGAGUAAGACUUACUAAUCAGUAUUUUCUUUUACAUUCUCAGUUGUUCAAACUCAAAUUCGAUCCGAUCUUUGCAUUGUACUCUGUGAAAGAUGGAGGAUUAAUAAACGAAACAAGACUCGAAUUGAAGGAUGGACACAGAUUGCAUGGGGUUGAGGUGACGAAUUAUUUUAUAACAGCAAGUUUCUCUGACGCGGCCUCACAUGGAGAUAACCAUGAAACUAUUCAGGUUCUAGGAAUUCCAAGUUUACAAAUCAUUUCAAACAUUCCUGCUGCAGAGUCGCCACAGAUGUUUACAGUUGCAGAUUCUUACAUUCUGACUUUAAGUCCGUUUAAAACCAGAUUAGAGCUUUCCGAGCUCACCCUUUUCAAUCCAAUUCUUAAAUCUCAAUCAAAGUUUAAAAUUCGCCUGUCAUUUUACGACGUGCUAAACCUAAGUUUUGACGGCCGAUACGCUCUGGUUCGAACAAUUGACGAGAUUGAUCAGACAAAUGUGUAUGAUGUAAUUCGUUCACGAACAGUUACAAAAGGUUUGAAAACGGGAAUGUUUCAACUGAACGAGGUGUUUGUGUAUCCUUUACUCUGUACUAUUCAGGAUCAUUGCUACUUAAAAAUAUAUAAUCUAGAGGAGAGAUCAAGUUUAUCCCGAUUUAUCCAUGAACCUGCAGACCUGUGUUCUAGCGCUAGUCAACCUAGAACUGAGAUUGGGCUUGGGAAUAAGGGAUUCUGUCUACCUAACCCGAUAUCUUAAACACUCUUCAGAUCAUUCACAGUGCUCAGCGUUCCUUGAUAUUUUCAACCUAGACCAGAUAAAGGUUGGAAAUCUUGUUCCAAGUGUUCUGUCUCUUCAACUCUCCGGACCCUUGUUUGAUGAA
rnacentral:misc_RNA from 1 species